GAAAUGCGAUAAGUAGUGUGAAUUGCAGAAUUCAGUGAAUCAUCGAAUCUUUGAACGCACAUUGCGCCCUUUGGUAUUCCUUAGGGCAUGCCUGUUCGAGCGUCAUCUAAACCUUCAAGCCCUGCUUGGUGUUGGGUGCCUGUCCCGCCUCCGCGCGCGGACUCACCUCAAAUCCAUUGGCGGCCCCCGCGUCGGCCACGAGCGCAGCAGACACGCGAACUCGUGAGCCCGUCCGGGCGGCUCCCAGAAGCUACACCCACCCAGUUUGACCUCGGAUCAGGUAGGGAUACCCGCUGAACUUAAGC
rnacentral:misc_RNA from 1 species